GACAAACGCUGGCGGCGUGCCUAACACAUGCAAGUCGAGCGCGAAAGGGACCUUCGGGUCCCCUGAGAGCGGCGAACGGGUGAGUAACACGUGGGCAACCUGCCUCAAGGACUGGGAUAACUCCGGGAAACCGGGGCUAAUACCGGGCGAUGUCGUCUGGCGCAAGCCGGCCGACCAAAUGGUAGCUUCGGCCUCCGCCUUGAGAUGGGCCCGCGUCCUAUCAGCUUGUUGGUGAGGUAAUGGCUCACCAAGGCUACGACGGGUAGCUGGUCUGAGAGGAUGAUCAGCCACACUGGGACUGAGAUACGGCCCAGACUCCUACGGGAGGCAGCAGUGGGGAAUUUUGCGCAAUGGGCGAAAGCCUGACGCAGCAACGCCGCGUGAGCGAAGAGGGCCUUCGGGUUGUAAAGCUCUGUCAGGGGGAAAGAAGGCACCUGGGUUAAUAGCCCAAGGGCUGACGGUACCCCCAAAGGAAGCCACGGCUAACUACGUGCCAGCCGCCGCGGUAAGAC
rnacentral:rRNA from 1 species